rnacentral:misc_RNA from 1 species
UUGUCACAUCUUUAGGUCUUGCAGCUGUUGCUGUGGGAUGUAAGCAGCUUACGACACUAGACAUAAAAAAUUGUCACAACAUUGAUGAUGCUGGAAUGAUUCCACUUGCUCACUUCUUGACAAACCUCAAACAGAUAAAUUUAUCCUACACUUCAGUGACGGAUGUGGGGCUGUUGUCUCUUGCCAGCAUCAGCGGUCUACAGAACAUGACAAUCCUGCACCUCAAGGGUUUAUCUCCUGGUGGACUAGGAGCUGCACUGUUGGCUUGUGGCGGACUUACUAAAGUUAAGCUGCAGACAUCAUUUAAAUCAUUGCUACCACAACCUCUCCUUCAACAUCUAGAAUCCCGGG